UUUUUUUUUUCAAUUUUAAUUUUUAUGAGGCUUUGCUAAACAAAUAGUUAGAUAUAUACAUUUUUUUCCACUGUACAGCAUGGGGACCAAGCUACACAUACAUGUAUACAUAAUUUUUCCUCCCAUUGUCAUGUGGCAAUAUAAGUAUCUAGACACUACUUAGGCUUUUCAAUCAGAAUUAGACUAGCAGUGUUUCAUACUAGAUUUUUUUUUUUUAAGUCUGAGAAAGUACUUGACUUUUUUUUUAAUUUUUUUUAUCAUUAUUUUUUUUAAUCAUUCUUUAAAAUUAGUAAUGGCUUCAUUAAGGAUUUCUUAAAGAAAAAUUAAGAAUGUUUGAGGAGUUUCCAUCAUGGCUCAACAGAAACAAAUCUGACUAGCAUCCAUGAGGAUACAGGCUUGAUCCCUGGCCUUGCUCAGUGGGUUAAGGAUCCAGCAUUGCUGUGAGCUGUGGUGUAGGUCCCAGAUGCGGCUCAGAGCCCAUGUUGCUUGGCUGUGGUUUAGGCUGACAGCUACAGCUCCAAUUUGACCCCUGGCCUGGGAACUUCCAUAUGCCAUGAGCAUGGCUCUAAAAAUAAAUUUAAAAAAAAGAAUGUUUGAUUAGAAGUUUCCCUGGGACUCGGGAAAAACAAUUCAGUUUGACAUGUAGUUCUGUACAGGUACUAUCACUCAUCUCUUUAAUGUUACCUAAGUUUCAGCUAUAGAUAUAGAAAGGAAGAAGUAGCCUCUGAAGGACUGUGCAAAGCAAAUUCAUAAAGACGUGUGUACUGGGGGAAAAAAGUGCCCCUGGUGAUUGUGAUGUGUGCUCAUAAAUAUUAAUUUGAAGGAAUGGAUUUUCAAUCCCCUAAACUCCACAGUGAAGAACCUCUGGAAGCAAAUUCAAAUUCUGUUGCCAAGUUGUGCUUUCUUGCCCUAAUUUCCAGUUAACUUUAGCAUGCCCACAGGGUACAUGGCAGAGCACUUCAGAUCGUCUAAAGAUUUACCAGACAGAUAUUUCACUUCCUGGUAGGUCCCUGGUUCUGUAAGGUGUUGCCCUGCCCUGGCCGGGAGCCAGGGUACAGACAGGAGAGGCCCUCUUCUUUCCCACAGCCAAUUAAAGGGAAGGGCACAAUAUAAAUCCAGUCUCAUCUUGAGACAUUACAGAAGUGGGGUUAGUUUCUCUCCUUUCAUGGGGACUAAACUGGCCUAGUGAGUGUAACUUUGGGUCAUCAGCCUCCUCUAAAGAGCCUGUGGAGUUCUUUGUACCCCUUUUAGGACAUCAGGGCCAGAGGGAGAAUUCUACCUGCCUACCCCAGAGAGCUGGUUGGGCUCUGGCUCAAAAUGCCACUCCUUUUCUCUCCUCUACUUCCUACAUUGUGUUCAGACAAAGCUUCCAGCAUUAUUUUAACUCUAGUGUUUCUGCCCAAAAGAACUUAUGUGACUUCUCCCUCUACCUGCCCAGUUAGCAGCAAAUGAUGCCCAGGAUUCAAGGACAUGUAAUUUUCCCUGGGAACUUCACAAAUGUUAAGAGAGAGGGAUGGAAGUCUAAGCGAUACUGUACCAUCUUCAAAUCAACUAAAGUAUAGUGUUUGGAGCUUUGAGAUUCUAGAGCUUAGGUUCAAAAAUGUUGCCAAAAUUCAAGCUAAGUAUCAAUGGGGUUACUCAUAUAUGAAUACCCCAAAUUUUAGUUCUCCAAUCCUGCUAGUCUGUUAUGUAAGGUCUUGGAGCAUCAAGAUUAAGAUUAGUGGUGUAAUUGUGACUUCAUUUGUGUAAUCCAGUUUGUAAAGUCUGAGACCUAAGAGUCACCAGCAGCUCUGUGUCACUGUCAUUCUGAUCAAGUCAUCUAUGCCUGGUGGACCUUCGUUGCCUCAGGCACUAUUAUUGCAUCUUAGCGGAGCCAGAUACCUGAUUGUAUCACUGCUGAGACUUCACAACCCAAGCCCCAACAAUUCCGUUGGGAUGCAGCUUUAAGCUAGCCUCGAAUUCCACUGGAUUUAGUAUAGAUCAACUUCAAUUCAUUAGGCAGCACUGCUCUGUGCUAGGGUCCGGAGGGGGAUGCUCCACAAUAAAGAUGUCUGGACUCCAUGGUAUAUUCUCUGGGACUAAGCUAAAGUCAUUUGAAUUAAGACCAGACCCUCACAUUACCCUAAGCUCAGUGUACCACUGUCAUGCUGAUAUUAUCUAGAGUGAAUGGAGCCAAGCCCUCUGCCCGUUAGCCCAGAACCUGACAUCCUCCAGGAGGUGGGUGGGACUAAUCCACUCUGCAUUCUCAUCCCUGUUUUCCUUGCCACCUAAGUCACUGGUCUUCCAUUAUAUCCACAGUCUGAAAGUGUGGUCCUUGGACCAAAGCAUUCACAUCACUUGGGCACUUGUUGUGCAGAUUCUCAGGUCCAUCUCAGAUCUACUCAAUCAGAAACUCUGGGAGUGGGGCCCAGCAAUCUGUGUCUUAACAAGCCCUCCCCAUGGCUGUGACGCACAGUAAAGGUUAAGAAUGACUGCGCUAUACCAUCAUCCCCGAAUCCUCCCUGUUUCCUUGUUCCUGUGGCUAUUCCUCAUUGUUCUAAUACACACCUCCCCACCCUAGCUCUCCAAUGUGCCCUCUGGAGUACCUGCUUGUGAUCAGCAAAUUCCUCUGUAUCUAUGACAUUUUCCAGGAAUGUCCUCCACACCUCCUUGCAUUAAUUGAAACCCAUUCUUUUGCAGAGCAGCCCUCUGUGGUGGUGGAUCUGUACUCAUAUCCAUUUACUGCAGGACAGGUCCUCGUCCUCCUUCUCUCCAUCACUAUGUCUAGACCAUGACUUCUACCCCACCCUCUUGUAAAAACUCCUACUACUCCUUUGAGGCUCAUGCCUUGUGGUUAUACCACCCUUCCCCCUCCUUAUUAUUCAAAUAUUUUGUACCAGGCUCAUCCUGGGUCGCUUCAAAAUCCAUAAUAAUGGCUAUCAACCAAGCCUCCAAUUUCUUGACUAUCUUAUCUCCACUGACCAUUUCCUUUGUCCUCUUCCAUUGACUUCUGCAGUUAUAUUUAGUACUUUUGUCCCUUGAAAUUGCUUUAUCUCCCAAAUCAAAAAUACAAGCAUCCCUUGGAGCUCCCUUUGUGGCUCAGUGGUUAAUGAACCCAACUAAGAUCCAUGUGGUUGCAGGCUCAGUCCCUGGCCUCGCUCAGUGAGUUAAGGAUCCAGCAUUGCCAUGAGCUGUGGUGUCAGGUGCAGACGUGGCUCAGAGCUGGUGUGUCUGCGGCUGUAGCAUAGGCCAGCAGCUGUGGCCCCAAUUCAACCCCUAGCCUGGAAUCUUCCAUAUGCGACGGUGUGGCCCUAAAAAGCAAAAAAAAAAAAAGAGAGAGAGAGACAGACAUAAAAAAAUACAAGCAUCCCAUCCCCCAGCCACAAAUUCUUGUAUUACAUUUGCUCAGUCA
rnacentral:lncRNA from 1 species